rnacentral:rRNA from 1 species
UACGAAGGGGGCUAGCGUUGUUCGGAAUUACUGGGCGUAAAGGGCGCGUAGGCUGUGCUGUAAGUCAGGCGUGAAAUCCCCGGGCUCAACCUGGGACUUGCGCAUGAUACUGCGGCGCUUGAAGACGGGAGAGGAUGGCGGAAUUCCCAGUGUAGAGGUGAAAUGCGUAGAUAUUGGGAGGAACACCGGUGGCGAAGGCGGCCCCCUGGACCGGUUCUGACGCUGAGGCGCGAAAGCGUGGGUAGCAAACGGG